CCCUCUUGCUCACCCUUGACUUGGAAAAACCAGUUUCUCUUUUAUUAGGCGGGGUUUCACCAUGUUGCCCAGACUGGUCUUGAACUCCUGAGCUUAAGCAAUCCACCUGCCUCGGCCUCCCAAAGUGUUGGGAUCACAGGCGUGAGCCACCGCAUCCGGCCUCAUGUUCUUUUUCAUUAAAGAGAGAAAUCAACUAUUCAGGACCGGCCCCCACCUUUCCUCAGGAGUCAUUUCUGUUCCGCACAGGCCUGCUGAACUGGGUGCUUUAUAUAGGAUUUCAGUGGAGUGAAGUUCAGGAGGCAUGGAGCUGACAACCAUGAGGCCUCGGCAGCCACCGCCACCACCGCCGCCGCCACCACCGUAGCAGCAGCAGCAGCAGCAGCAGCAGCAGCAGCAGCAGCAAGAGUAACUCUGACUUAGGAAUAGAGACAGCCAGAGAGAAAUGUGAUCAAUGA
rnacentral:lncRNA from 1 species